rnacentral:rRNA from 1 species
AUACGAAGGGUGCAAGCGUUACUCGGAAUUACUGGGCGUAAAGCGUGCGUAGGUGGUUUGUUAAGUCUGUCGUGAAAGCCCUGGGCUCAACCUGGGAACUGCGAUGGAAACUGGCUAACUAGAAUGUGGUAGAGGGUAGCGGAAUUCCCGGUGUAGCAGUGAAAUGCGUAGAGAUCGGGAGGAACACUCGUGGCGAAGGCGGCCACCUGGACCAGUACUGACGCUGAGGCACGAAAGCGUGGGGAGC